rnacentral:misc_RNA from 1 species
GAACGCACCUUGCGCCCCUUGGCAUUCCGAGGGGCACACCCGUUUGAGUGUCGUGAAAUUCUCAAAACCUUCUUCUUUGGGAAAAGGUAUUGGACUUGGAGGCCUUUUGCUGGUUUCACCUUGAAGCGAGCUCCUCCUAAAUGAAUUAGUGGGGUCUGCUUUGCCGAUCCUUGACGUGAUAAGAUGUUUCUGCGUCUUGGGUUCGGCGCUGUCACCUGCUUCCAACUGUCUCAUUGACGACGAUGGCGCUCCGGUCACCACCGCUCUGUCGGUGGGAGGCUUGACCCACAAAAAAAAACCUUGACCUCAAAUCGGGUGAGACUACCCGCUGAACUUAA